rnacentral:piRNA from 1 species
UGUAUGUCUGCUGGUCAAUAUCCC